UACGUAGGGUGCAAGCGUUGUCCGGAAUUAUUGGGCGUAAAGAGCUCGUAGGCGGUCUGUCACGUCGGACGUGAAAAUCCAGGGCUCAACCCUGGACCUGCGUUCGAUACGGGCAGACUAGAGUUCGGCAGGGGAGACUGGAAUUCCUGGCGUAGCGGUGAAAUGCGUAGAUAUCGGGAGGAACACCUGUGGCGAAAGCGGCGCACUGGACCACAACUGACGCUGAGGCGCGAAAGCUAGGGGAGCAAACAGG
rnacentral:rRNA from 1 species